AUUUGUCUGGUUAAUUCCGAUAACGAACGAGACCUUAACCUGCUAACUAGUUCUCAAUACUCUGUAUUCUGCAACUUCUUAGAGGGACUAUGUAAAUCAAUUACAUGGAAGUUUGAGGCAAUAACAGGUCAGUGAUGCCCUUAUAUGUCCUGGGCUGCACGCGUGCUACACUGAUGCAUACAACAAGUGCCUAGCCAGACAUGGUACGGCAAUCUCGAAUAUGCAUCGUGAUGGGGAUAGAUCUUUGCAAUUAUAGAUCUUGAACGAGGAAUUCCUAGUAAGUGCAAGUCAUCAUCUUGCAUUGAUUAUGUCCCUGCCCUUUGUACACACCGCCCGUCGCUCCUACCGAUACCGGGUGAUCCGGUGAACCUUUUGGACUCAUUGAGAAAGAUAAGUAAACCAUAUCACCUAGAGGAAGGAGAAGUCGUAACAAGGUUUCCGUAGGUGAACCUGCRGAAGGAUCA
rnacentral:rRNA from 1 species